rnacentral:rRNA from 1 species
GAGUUUGAUCGUGGCUCAGAUUGAACGCUGGCGGCAUGCCUUACACAUGCAAGUCGAACGGCAGCAUGAUCUAGCUUGCUAGAUUGAUGGCGAGUGGCGAACGGGUGAGUAAUACAUCGGAACGUGGCCUGUAGUGGGGGAUAACUAGUCGAAAGAUUAGCUAAUACCGCAUACGACCUGAGGGUGAAAGUGGGGGACCGCAAGGCCUCAUGCUAUAGGAGCGGCCGAUGUCUGAUUAGCUAGUUGGUGGGGUAAAGGCCCGACCAAGGCGACGGAUCAGUAGCUGGUCUGAGAGGACGAUCAGCCACACUGGGACUGAGACACGGCCCAGACUCCUACGGGAGGCAGCAGUGGGGAAUUUUGGACAAUGGGGCAACCCUGAUCCAGCAAUG